CAGCGGAAGUUUAGGGGCGGGGCCCACGGGAUGGAUUGAAAGUGUGGGCCUCAGGAUGAGAGAGGGGAGCAACUUUAGGGUAGAGUUGAGGCGGUCGGACUAGAUGGAGGUGGGGACAAGGGGCACCUCAGGACGCGGACGCAGCCGCCAACCACCAGGACGCCGGCCUGUGACCUGGGAAAUCUCUGACUCAGAGCCCGAGAGCCCAUCCAGCUACCGUGCCGAGGGCCUUGGUGACCCAGGAGAGGCGAGUGCCGAAUCUAAGGACCCUGGGGGCCUUGAUCCCCCAGUGGGUCCCGUGGCUGCUCCGGGGCAAGCCCGGCCUCGGGAAAGGGUGGGGAGAAAGGCGCAGGAGAAGCUGGGUACUGCAGCUGCUCGAGCCGAGGCCCGGAGGAAGGACCGGGAGCUGGAAAGGCAGAAGAGGAAAAGUGCAGCUGAAGCCCUCAGGCUAAUGCGACCGGACCGUUGCCUGAUGCACUUGACCGUCCUUCUGGACCCAGCUCUCCUGGAAAAUGCUGGCUCUGAUAUCCUAAUAGAGGCUUUGGUUUCCCUGAAAUGUGAGUAUGUCAUUGAGCCUCAGCCAUGGGUCCAAAGUCUCACCUGGAAGAGAUCAGUGCCAACCAUCUGCCAGAGCAGUGUGAGUAGUCUUCUUGUUAUACCUCAGAAUCCAAGACAGGAAAUGCUGAUUCCCUCAGUGACUGUCCUUUUUCCACCAUGACCACAAACAUGUUUUAGUUCUAUCAGUACUGCCAGGCAAUUCUAGAGUACUCUUUUCUAAAUUUCACCUUUCAGUUCUGCAAGAUGCUGGCUCAGUCUAGUGACAGCUCUGGAGUCAGUGCUUUGAGAGCCUAAGGUUGUGGGCUCUGAUCCAGCCAACAACUGUUGUGUCCCCACAGGCUGCUCCUGCUUCACUAUGGGUUGCAGAAGUUCAGGAAGUACUGGUGGUCCUGGAACCAGAGGAAUUUCUCAAAGGCCUCAUCUCACUAGCACAGGUGCUGGGGAGUGAGAGAGUCAGCCACUCCUUGGCAGCCUCUCUCUUUAUUCAAGAUGCUAAACUAUUUUCUAGCCCUGUCUUAUCUACCCCUGCCCCAGUAUAUUCACAUCUAAAGCUGGCAGCAGGGAGAAUUCAUCUUUAGGCCCAGAGGUUCCUCUUUUUUU
rnacentral:lncRNA from 1 species